AGAAUAUAGCUGGACUUAAAGGUCCAAUAAGACGUCAGACUUCCAAUCUUAGUGGCCACUCCUCUUCUGGUCUCUCCGCUUUCAGCGCCGCGGUUAGUUAAAGGCGUGGAACGGCUUGCUGCAGCCAUAUUUGCUCGUCUCCCGUGGAUGUGAGGUUCCUCAGUGGUUUCUCUCCAUCUGAGGGGCUUUUGAGGGAACAUUUUUAGUUCCCCUACCACCAUGCCUUAUGGUGUAUUUAAGAAAACAUAUCAAAAUUCCAUAUUUUUGACGUUUUGGUAUGUUCUUGUACGGUCUUCUUGACACGUCCUCCAUAUUUUUUGAUAUGCGUAAUAUUUUUAGUCAAUUUUUCAUUUUUAAGGAAUAUUUCCUUGUGCAUUUUGGUUGACACCUGUGUAUGGUGGACUUACCUUUCUUUCAGGUUUCUGCAUUUUUGCCCAUCGGGGCCACGGAUACCUGUGUGUCCUCCCCUCCGUUCCAUGCCCAGUGGGGCUUUGGAUACGUACCUGCCUUUUAAUUCUUUUUUUCUUCUUCUUCUUCUUUCUUCUAAACUUGCCCAUCUGGGCUGUGGAUACCUGCUUUUAUUCUUUUUUUUCUUCUCCUUAGCCCAUCGGGGCCAUGGAUACCUGCUUUUUAUCCAAAAAAAACGGUCCAUCGGGACCUCAGAUACCUGCGUUUAAUCUUUUUCCCAUGCCCAACGGGGCCUCGGAUACCUGCUUUAAUUUUUUUUUUCACGGCCCAUCGGGGCAUUUGGUGGAUGGAAAUAUGGUUUUGUGAGUUAUUGCACUGCCUGGAAUAUCUAUGCGUCUUAUUCCCGUUUACUGUUGCUGCUGAUCGUUUGGUGCGGUGUGAGUGAACCUAUGGCUUAGAAAAACGUGUUGGCGCUUAAGCUGAGCGGGUGUUAAGGGCGUGGAGAUCCCGCGUCUGCCAUUACGGCUUCUGCGUGACACGGCUAUUCUCGGGCCAGUUAUGCCAAGAAUUAGGACGCGGAGGAGCACAGCGAACGGGAUAGAAGCAACUAAGUGCGCUGCGCUAGCUAAAGGCUUUCUUUAUAUGUGCGGGUUCGGACUUGAUUUGUGGCAGCAUUUGAGGAAUGGUGCUAUCCGGAAGUAGAAAGUCAAGGAGCUCUCGUAUAUUCGCGUGUGGUGUCGGGUGAAAGCCGCGGAGGACGAGGGGCUAGGGCUCGGGAUGUGUGUGCAUAACGCGUAGCAAUGGAAAUAGGACACUUAGGUCAUACAAGGAAAGAUGGCGGCUCAAGCUCUUGCUGCGGUAUAACGCAGAGAGCUUUGUUUUUCACAUGUCAGCUUCACGGCUGAGUUAGCCUGGAGAUGUGGCACAUGCUCUUGAGUGUGUCUAGGAUGGUGGUUGUCAUGUAACCAGCCCUCGAGGGGUUUCUUUUCGUGAAUUUUUGGCGGGCUUAAGCCACUUGGCGGGCUUUGCCCAAGGGUAGACUUGGUGCAUUAUGGUAGUGAGUGGUUGGUUCUACCUUGUGCCACACGAAGCUGAGGCAAGGCUAGGUGGAAGUGUUGGUUGCCACUUGACGUAACUCGUCAGAUAUGGGCAUGACUUUGGAAGUGUUGGUGUCCGCUUGACCUAACCAGUUAGAAAUGUGCAUUAUUGCUUGGUGGAGAGGGUGUGAUGACUCGCUGUCCCAUAAGGACUUGAGUUAGCUUAGUACUUCACAUCUGUCCUUAGUCAUCGUUAUUUCGAAGUGCCUGCCCAGGUGGGAGAGCACAUGCUUGCGAUUCUAACACUGAAGUGUUGAAUGACGUCUGAGCCGAUCCGAGGGACUGAGGCUGCGGGUUCCUGACGUCGAUGUGAAUCAUUGAAAGCUCAUCUGUUAAAAGAAAGAAAAGUAUUUAAGGCCAUUUCAAGGGCAUUUGACCCAUCCGCUUGCUUUCCUAUUUAUCUAAGUCUCUUACAGUGCUCUUAUACGUGGUGGUGCAAGCUAAGCCUCACCCCAUUCCUUUGUAUUGUUGGUUCCGUGGCCUAAGACUAGUCUACUUACUCCUUGGCCUCUGAUUUAGCCAGCACUGUGAUCUCAAGCGGUUCUCUAAGCCUUCUGUGGGCAUAGUGGUGACCCUGGCCAGAGUCAUAGUAGAUCACCCAUCACUGGCCAAGAGGUAGAAUCCUACCGGAUCUACCCUGUAACUAUUGCUGGGUUGGAUUUUGAUUUACAUGAAUGUUCUGGAUGUCAAUGAUAAGUCUGAUAGUGUGGUUUGCUAGUGUUUGAAUUUAAGACUGAAGUGGUUGUUUUAAAAACGUAUUUAGGAGCCUUGCUUACUUGUAGAACUCAUUUUAGUUACCUAAAGUGAAUUGUUUGGAGUCCUUAAAGUUUUCAAUCAUUUUUUUGGUAGAUGAUACUCAAAUUACUUGGCACUUAAAUGUGCUUUCUUCCAAACUCAUCUAUUGAACUACUCCUAAAAGUUUUGAGUCUUACAACACAGCUAUUGUUAACGUAAAGUUAACGCUAUGACUGGGUAUCAGAAGGAGUAUCUGAAGCUCUACACCAGUCCAGGCUUUGCUUUUGUUGCUGUCCUUGAUGCCAUAUUGACUAAUGGCUUUACUUGUCAGCAAGAGCCUUCAAGUGUAGUGCUCUGUGUCUCUAUCAGACUUACUAUUGUAAUAGUAAUAUGAACGCCUACAUUUCAACUUUCUGUGCUUUCUUGCCUUUAUGGCAGUCAUGAGUUUCACUCACUUAAUGAGUUUCUCCUCAGACUCAGCAAAUACUGCUACUGCUAUUGCUGUCCUUGCCCCUGCCCCAGCCCUCACCCCUGCCCCACCCAACCAGCCCAGCCCAGCCCUGCCCUAACCCAAUCCUAGCCCCAGGCCCAGAUUCUCUCAGACCGAUCCCCAGUCCACUUCUGCCUAGAGAAAUUCCAAUCUUCAUUGAUGCAGCACUAAAAUGUAGAGCCCAUUACUCAGCCUUAAGACUGAGCUAUCCUAUCCACACCCUAUACCCCCUCCAUGCUGACUUUCAGAGUCACGAGUUUCACUGACUUAAUGCAUUACAGUCCUACUGCUAAAAUGCAGAGUCCAUUACUCAGCCUUAAGACUGAGCUAUCCUAUCCACACCCUAUACCCCCUCCAUGCUGACUUUCAGAGUCAUGAGUUUCACUGACUUAAUGCAUACAGUCCUAUUGCUAAAAUGCAGUGCCCAUUACUCAGUCUGUAAGACUGAGCUAUCCUAUCCACACCCUAUACCCCCCUCCAUGCUGACUUUCAGAGUCACGAGUUUCACUUAAUGCAUACAGUCCUAUUGCUAAAAUGCAGAGCCCGUUACUCAGCCUUAAGACUGAGAUAUCCUAUCCACACCCUAUACCCCCCUCCAUGCUGACUUUCAGAGUCAUGAGUUUCACUCACUUAAUGCAUACAGUCCUAUUGCCAAACUUCAGUGCCCAUUACUCAGCCUUAAGACUGAGAUAUCCUAUCCAUACCCUAUAUACCCCCAACAUGCUGACUUUCAGAGUCAUGAGUUUCACUCACUUAAUGCAUACAGUCCUAUUGCUAAAAUGCAGAGCCCAUUACUCAGCCUUAAGACUGAGAUAUCCUAUCCAUAUCCUAUAACCCCUCCAUGCUGACUUUCAGAGUCAUGAAUUUCACUCACUUAAUGCAUACAGUCUUAUUGCCAAAAUUCAGUGCCCAUUACUCAGUCUGUAAGACUGAGAUAUCCUAUCCAUACCCUAUGCCCCCUCCAAGCUGACUUUCAGAGUCAUGAGUUUCACUUAAUGCAUACAGUCCUAUUGCUAAAAUGCAGUGCCCAUUACUCAAUCUGUAAGACUGAGCUAUCCUAUCCACACCCUAUACCCCCUUCCAUGCUGACUUUCAGAGUCAUGAGUUUCACUCACUUAAUGCAUACAGUCCUAUUGCCAAACUUCAGUGCCCAUUACUCACCAGCCCUUACUUAUUUUUAAAAGGUGGCUGUGGACAGAUUAAAUGUGAGAACAUGUCAAGUCGCCUUUGAAAAUCAUAGGCCAUCACAUUUAAUCAAUUCAUUCUAUCCACCAUUAAAUUCUGACAAUAAUUUGAAGUAGCUUGAAAAGAACCACCCUAAAGUGGGAACUUAUUUUAGAGAUGAUGGAACCUGUUUACCCACUUUACAUUUUAAAAUAUGUGUGCCAAGAUCUAAUCAUUUCUUUAAAUGUACACUUCAAGGAGAGAUAUGCUGAGGAAGAAAAGAACUUUCUCUAGUGUGAAGGGUGCUUUGCGGCCGCCGAGUACUUAAGAUCUUUUUUUGAAAGCUAUUGUGUAUGAGUGUGUAUGUGUGUACAUGCGUGUUCCUGCAAGUAUUCAUCCAUUCACACAGUGAUCAGACAACAAUGGGGUCUGGUCCGUCUAUCUUGUGGGUCCUGGAGAUCAAACUCAGAUCAUCAGGCUUGGCAGCAAGUACCUUUACCCUCUGUGCCAUCUUGCCAUCCUGUGGCUGUGCGUUUAAUAUGACUUUGCCGAUGAAAAUAGUCAUCACAACAGCAGUUCUCCGGCGUUACUGAAAAUGAAAAAUACUAUUUCUGAGAGUGAUGUUCAAGCGACUCACCCAGCGCAGGCUCAGCUCCUCGACUACAUCAGAUUCGGGCUGGGAUGAAUUUGGAAUAUGUUUUGUGACCCUGCCUCAAGAAGAAGGAUUGCCUGGAUUUAGAGGAGUGAAGAGUGCUGGGGAGACCCCAAAGGAAUAAUCCCUACGUGAGACUGAAGGCCUGCCAGCAGCUGAAACAGGCUGCAUUCCACUUCAGCAGAUCUUCCCUUCAAGCCCUAGCUAAUCUGAACAAAAAACUUGAAGGCCACAUGGAGAAAAAAAGAUGUCCCCCCAGAAGUAUGGGCUGUUGCUUGCUUUGCAGUGCUGGCGACCUAUUCCCUUUGACGAUCCUUAGGUGGAGAUGGGGCAUGAGGAUCCUCCAGGGAAAUAGCUCACCACCACUGGGCAACAGGCCAAGCCCAGAGUUCAGAGAGACACUUCCCUGAACCCAGCAAGGAAGACAAAGGCUCAGAGACAGCCACCCUUGACCAAAAUGAGAAGACCUGCUGUGACAGUGGCACUGACCUUCUGAGGAAGCCAUUCUGCUCUAUUUGGUUCUUUCCCUGGAAGCUAGGAGAACUUUGUCAGCUGUUUACAUACUUGAAGAUGCACUGUGCUACCCUACCCAUGGGAUAUAAUACACAAUGCCAUCCCUUCCCCAAAGCAGCACAGAAAACUGGGUCUUCAAUCAAGAAAUCAAGAAAUGUGAACACAACAGAAGGAAGCCAGUUUUACAUACGACCCGAGGAUCAACAUAUCUGACUGCAGCAUCUUAAAAGCAAUAGAAUGAGAGGAGCCGUUCCUCACACCAGACUGCCCUGCAAAAUAAUCUAAGACAAAAUACAUCAUUCCAUCCAGUCAGGAUUGAAGUGGAUCUGAAGUGAACACCCAAGUGGAAGACUUGGGACUUAAAAGGACCAAAAUACAUAGAUGGCCCAUCUUGAACUGGCUGAACAGAAUGCUGACAACUGAAAGGAGAGGGACUGUUUCUACAGAAUACCUGUGACAUCUAAGAAUCGCGAACUGCAUCAUGUGACACAAAACCUAAGCUAAGUCCAAGCAUAAGACCUAAGGACCCAAUCCUAUGGACAGAAUGUCUAAGAGAUAAAGGCCUAUGGCCCAGAACUCUGGAAGGAUAGAAACCCCAAGACCAAGAAAGGAAAUUUGAAGAUGAGACCCCCUAAACCCAGCACCCCUUUCCAUUUCUUAUAUUUCUAUUUAAGUUGUCUUUGCUUGAAAUGUAAUUUUCAUUGUUACCAUUCCCCAUGAAGGAAUAAGUUUUUAGAUUGAUAGUAUUGUGCAGAGGUCUGUUUUAAACUUGAUCUUAGCCAUUUGUUAAAUUUUUGAUGUUUUACGACUUCCAUUGCUCUUCAUAUCUGCUCCACUUGAGACAGAACAAAAUCCAGCCAGUGUAUGUAGUCUGACUUUUGAUAUUCCCCCAGGGACAAGCAUCCGUACAGAUACUGUAUUUCCAUCCUCCCUACCUCAGAAGCCCUAGGCUGUCAAGAAAAGGAAAGCAUCAGGCUGUUAGGGGAAAACAAUGUCAGGCUAUCUAGAGAAAAUAUGAAGAGUUGUUCCAGACCAAUGAGAAGAAUUAGACAAGCAAUAUGCAGAUGUGCCAACCUUCUGAGAAGCACCAGCCGGCAUCACCUUCCUUCUUUGGGCUUAGGUGAGCAGGGUGUGAAAUUUCUAAUAAUGGUUUGGGGACAUAAUGAGGUCUGAAGCCCCUGCUCACAGUAGUGGCCGAGUGACUUGGUGCAUUCCACCAAAGGAACUCCUGGGUUUAAUACCCACCUUUAAGAAUAAUGAUGAGAGAAUCUGGGGACUGCUUAACAGGCUUAAUUUUCUUUUUCGUGCCUUCCUCUACCCCUGUAAGAGGGAAGUUAACUUAAAUGACACAAAAUGAAAAAGUAACAUGCUCACAGCACAUUGGCAAUCAUUCGUAGUUAACUCUUAAGUUCCUAAGGCUUUAUGGGCCCUUGGUCUCAGUUGCAUAUUCUUUUUCUUUUUAAAAGAAAAAAAAACUUUUUCAAAAAGUAAGAUAAAGGUACACUGGCCCAUUGCCUGUA
rnacentral:lncRNA from 1 species